CUUGGCUUGGUUGUUUCCUUGUUCUAUGGUAUCUCCGAUGGAAUGAUUACUCUGUUUCCCUGAUCUAAGCUCCUCUAGAUCAAAUACAGUUCUUGUACCCGAGACUGUGGUGCAUUCUAAACACUAAAGGCUACAAACCUCCGGACAAAUCAACAUUUUCACGGUUGAGUCCUGUAUAAACUGCCUACCUGAAAUAUAUACAUAAGAUUUAAUCAGUGCAAAUAGAGGUGAGCCGAAGAGAAAGAGUUCAUGCUCGCUCUUAUGUUUGUAGUUAUUACCUGGUCUCCUAUAGGUAAAAAUGAGCAC